AGAGCCGGCCCACGGCAUAGGCGGCCUAGACCGUUGCCUAGGGCGCCAUCUGGUGAGGGGGCGCCAAAUGGCAGUCUCCCUCUCAGUCUUUCUUUCCUUUUUUUUUAAAUUUUUUUUUUAUUCACUUUCUUAAUGCACCAUUAUGUUUACUCUCAGUCUCUCAACCUAUAAAUAACUACAAAUUUUGUGAAACUUAAAAUAAAACUCGUUUUCACUAAUCAUGACUCACAACUCUCGCGAGUUGUGAGUCACGCAUGCAUCCUUUUCCAUCUGAUCUGCGGCGCCGCCGCCGGGGCGGCGCCCCGCGCUACUACAGCAUGCUGUUGAGUUUACAAGGUGAGUGAGUGGGGGAUGGGCAGCGCAUCCCAUCAGUUUAUUGAUGAGAUGGUCGUCGUCGUAGCGCUGUCAUUUUUGUAAACAUAAAACUUUUAUCAUGAAAAGGCUGUCCAAGCCUUCGGGUGCUGCUUUCAGAAAGCGAAGAAGAGAAGAGGAGGAGAAACGGGCUCAAAGUCGAGGUAUAUAUUCUUUGGAUAAUGACAUAAUUCGACCUUUCAUCUGGAUGUCAAUUUACGAUUGUGCUAACGCUAGCUAAGUCAAAUGCUACUUAUUAUGUGCUAUAACCUACCUCUAUUUGUUGAAACAUCAUACAUUCUUGCCUGUGCCAGUUUAUUUAAUAGAGCAGACGUUUUACCUCGUUGGUUUAGUCACUUUUGUGCAUAAUCCACAAAUUCAUGUAAUGUGCAAGCAUGUUUCUUUUGAUCAGAUGCUCUGAGAAAAUAUCUACAGCCACGACAGGGGCCAACUGUAGAAGCUGCUGCAGAAGAGGCAGCAAGCUCGGUCUCACAGUUACCUUCUCCUGUGGCUGUUAGUGACAGUGACAGUGAACAUUCAUCUCAAGCAUUAAGCAGAAGCACAGCAGUGAUUGAGACACAACUUCAAAAUGUUGAUGCUGGAGCAGUCAGUGAAGCACCAAGCAGCAGCACUGUAAUUCUUCAGACACCACCUCAAACGGUUGAACCAGAAGGACCCAGCACCAGCAGUCUCAAUACAAUCCGCCAGCCUACAGGCGCUCCAUCAACAUCAACAGAUGUAUGUGAGCCCAUCUCAGCAGCCCCCAUUGAUCCCGCUGAUUGGCCACCCAACUUGUCUGAUUCAGAGAGGACUGAAUUGGUUAGUCGAGGACCACCUGUAAUAAGGUCAGACUUCUCGUUCCCCAAAAAACAGGAUGGAAGAAGUUGCCAUCACCGCCAUUUCUUCAGACUGUUGACCAAUGGGGAAAAAAUCAAAAGGUCAUGGCUCAUGUAUUCAAAAAAGAAAGAUAGUUUGUACUGUUUCUGCUGCAAGCUCUUCUCACAGAAGACUUUUAAACUUAGCAAGGAUGGCACUGAUGACUGGAAAAACUGUGGUGACAUACUUAAAACACAUGAAAACAGUAAAGAACACACAAAUAACAUGGGAAGCUGGAGAGAACUUGAAAGUCGUUCAAAAAAGGGUCAAACAAUUGACAAUAUUGAGAUGGCCAUAAUACAUGCUGAAAGGAGGAGAUGGCGGGAAGUUCUCACCAGACUUGUGGCAAUUAUUAAGUCACUGGCAGAGAGAAAUAUUGCACUCAGGGGUUCCACAGACCAACUUAAUCAGCCAAACAAUGGAAAUUUCCUUAAGGAAGUGGAGUUAAUGGCUCAGUUUGAUCCUGUGCUGAAAGAGCACAUUAUUAAGAUUGAAGGAGGAGCCAGUCACACAACCUAC